CGACUCUCGGCAACGGAUAUCUCGGCUCUCGCAUCGAUGAAGAACGUAGCGAAAUGCGAUACUUGGUGUGAAUUGCAGAAUCCCGUGAACCAUCGAGUCUUUGAACGCAAGUUGCGCCCCAAGCCUUCAGGCCGAGGGCACGUCUGCCUGGGUGUCACAAAUCGUCGUCCCCAUCCUUUGCGGAUAA
rnacentral:rRNA from 1 species